rnacentral:lncRNA from 10 species
CUUGGAAGCAAUGGAAUCCCAGAAGUAUGGAACACACACAUCACCCAGAUUCUGACUUCUAAUACCAGUCUCUAAAGAAAGGAACAAGACAUCCUGGCAGAUACUGUGGAUUCUAGGGCUGGGCAGGGCAUAUAGAAGAAGAGCCUGGCAUGUCUCAUAGUGCCAGAAUUAGGUUUAUCUGAACAUCUUGCCCAACCUUUCUUCAGCACUCUGCCAAGUAUUCUGGAUUUUCACAUUUCUGACCACUGCAUCCUAAAAAUUUCUACAGCUCAACUGUAUAUUUGCAGAACACAGCACAAUUAAAAGUCAAGAAGGAGGAGACAGUAAAGGACGAUGAGCAAGUAUGAAGAGAUUCUUCCUUCCCACACUGAGUGCUGUGGUCAGUGCCCCUGUGUCUGUGAGCCAGGUGCCGACUCCCACCCAGUACUCUGGUGAUAUCUGCUGGCCUCCGUGAUUGCUGCUUCGUGAGGUUUCAUUGCUGGGAGGUCUGUGAGCUUCCGGAGGAAGUGGAGGGCCACUUACCAAUCUGUCUGUGAUGCAAACUCACUGGAUGUGCAGUGUCCACCGGGUCCCCUCUGUAUCCUCUCAAUGGAAUUUUUGGGGGGCAAAGGGAAUGGAUUCUAAUGUCAUGUUUCUUGCUGUACUGUAAGGAAUAAAGUCUUUUGUCUCUGACU